UUGAACGCUGGCGGCAUGCCUUACACAUGCAAGUCGCACGGUAACAGGUCUUCGGAUGCUGACGAGUGGCAAACGGGUGAGUAAUACAUCGGAACGUGCCCGAUCGUGGGGGAUAACGAAGCGAAAGCUUUGCUAAUACCGCAUACGAUCUACGGAUGAAAGCAGGGGACCGCAAGGCCUUGCGCGAACGGAGCGGCCGAUGGCAGAUUAGGUAGUUGGUGGGAUAAAAGCUUACCAAGCCGACGAUCUGUAGCUGGUCUGAGAGGACGACCAGCCACACUGGGACUGAGACACGGCCCAGACUCCUACGGGAGGCAGCAGUGGGGAAUUUUGGACAAUGGGCGAAAGCCUGAUCCAGCCAUGCCGCGUGCAGGAUGAAGGCCUUCGGGUUGUAAACUGCUUUUGUACGGAACGAAAAGACUCUGGUUAAUACCUGGGGUCCAUGACGGUACCGUAAGAAUAAGCACCGGCUAACUACGUG
rnacentral:rRNA from 1 species